GAGUUUGAUCCUGGCUCAGGAUGAACGCUGGCGGCGUGCCUAAUACAUGCAAGUCGAACGAAACAGAUAAGGAGCUUGCUCCUUUGACGUUAGCGGCGGACGGGUGAGUAACACGUGGGUAACCUACCUAUAAGACUGGAAUAACUCCGGGAAACCGGGGCUAAUGCCGGAUAACAUGUUGAACCGCAUGGUUCUACAGUGAAAGACGGUCUUGCUGUCACUUAUAGAUGGACCCGCGCCGUAUUAGCUAGUUGGUGGGUAACGGCCUACCAAGGCGACGAUACGUAGCCGACCUGAGAGGGUGAUCGGCCACACUGGAACUGAGACACGGUCCAGACUCCUACGGGAGGCAGCAGUAGGGAAUCUUCCGCAAUGGGCGAAAGCCUGACGGAGCAACGCCGCGUGAGUGAUGAAGGUCUUCGGAUCGUAAAGCUCUGUUGUUAGGAGAACAAAUGUGUAAGUAACUGUGCAUAUCUUGACGGUACCUAACCAGAAAGCCACGGCUAACUACGUGCCAGCGCCGC
rnacentral:rRNA from 1 species